UAGGGAAUCUUCGGCAAUGGACGAAAGUCUGACCGAGCAACGCCGCGUGAGUGAAGAAGGUUUUCGGAUCGUAAAACUCUGUUGUUAGAGAAGAACAAGGACGUUAGUAACUGAACGUCCCCUGACGGUAUCUAACCAGAAAGCCACGGCUAACUACGUGCCAGCAGCCGCGGUAAUACGUAGGUGGCAAGCGUUGUCCGGAUUUAUUGGGCGUAAAGCGAGCGCAGGCGGUUUCUUAAGUCUGAUGUGAAAGCCCCCGGCUCAACCGGGGAGGGUCAUUGGAAACUGGGGGACUUGAGUGCAGAAGAGGAGAGUGGAAUUCCAUGUGUAGCGGUGAAAUGCGUAGAUAUAUGGAGGAACACCAGUGGCGAAGGCGGCUCUCUGGUCUGUAACUGACGCUGAGGCUCGAAAGCAUGGGGAGCAAACAGG
rnacentral:rRNA from 1 species